UGGCGGUGUUAGAGGUGAAUUCUUGGAUCGCCGCCAGACAAACUACAGCGAAAGCAUUUGCCAAGGAUGUUUUCAUUGAUCUGGAGCGAAAGUCAGAGGUUCGAAGACGAUCAGAUACCGUCCUAGUUCUGACCAUAAACGAUGCCAACUGACGAUCCGUGGUGGUUCUUUUAUUGGCCCCACGGGCAGUCCCCGGGAAACCCUUAAGUCUUUGGGCUCCGGGGGAAGUAUGGUUGCAAAGCUGAAACUUAAAGGAAUUGACGGAAGGGCACCACCAGGAGUGGAGCCUGCGGCUUAAUUCGACUCAACACGGGAAAACUCACCCGGCCCGGACACUAUGAGGAUUGACAGAUUGAUAGCUCUUUCUUGAUUCGGUGGUUGGUGGUGCAUGGCCGUUCUUAGUUGGUGGAGCGAUUUGUCUGGUUAAUUCCGAUAACGAACGAGACUCUGACCUGCUAAAUAGUAUGCUCGUUCCCUGUGCUCGUAUAGGCUGGGCGUUUGCUGCCUUUCGGGGUGGUGACGUGUUGGUCGGCGGGUACGGCGCGGGUAUAUACUUCUUAGAGGGACCGGCGGCGCAAUAGUCGCACGAAAUUGAGCAAUAACAGGUCUGUGAUGCCCUUAGAUGUCCGGGGCCGCACGUGCGCUACAAUGACGGUUUCAGCGAGUUUGGAAUCCUUGCCCGAAAGGGUUCAGGUAAACUGUAGCAUAACCGUCGUGACUGGGAUCGGGGCUUGCAAUUCUUCCCCGUGAACGAGGAAUUCCUGGUAAGUGCAAGUCAUUAGCUUGCGCUGAUUACGUCCCUGCCCUUUGUACACACCGCCCGUCGCUACUACCGAUUGAAUGGUUUAGCGAGGUCAUCGGAUUGGCGCCAUUGUACCGGUUUCGGCUGCUCCACCGGUGCUGAGAAGACGACCGAACUUGAUCAUUUAAAGGAAGUAAAAGUCAUAACAAGGUUUCCGUAGGUGAACCUGCGAAAGGAUCAUU
rnacentral:rRNA from 1 species